rnacentral:rRNA from 1 species
GAUGAACGCUGGCGGCGUGCUUAACACAUGCAAGUCGAACGGACUUUAUUUGAAGCCUAGCGAUAAUAAAGUUAGUGGCGCACGGGUGAGUAACGCGUGAGUAACCUGCCUUCAAGAGGGGGACAACAGUUGGAAACGACUGCUAAUACCGCAUAAUAUAUCGAGAUCGCAUGAUAUUGAUAUCAAAGGAGCAAUCCGCUUGAAGAUGGACUCGCGUCUGAUUAGAUAGUUGGUGAGGUAACGGCGUCACCAAGUCUACGAUCAGUAGCCGGACUGAGAGGUUGACCGGCACAUUGGGACUGAGAUACGGCCCAGACUCCUACGGGAGGCAGCAGUGGGGAAUAUUGGGGCAAUGGGCGAAAGCCUGACCCAGCAACGCCGCGUGAAGGAAGAAAGGGCCUUCGGGUUGGUAAACGUUACUUUUACCUAGGG